rnacentral:misc_RNA from 1 species
GAUGAAGAACGCAGCGAAAUGCGAUAAGUAAUGUGAAUUGCAGAAUUCAGUGAAUCAUCGAAUCUUUGAACGCACAUUGCGCCCGCCAGUAUUCUGGCGGGCAUGCCUGUUCGAGCGUCAUUUCAACCAUCAAGCCCCCGGCUUGUGUUGGGGACCUGCGGCUGCCGCAGGCCCUGAAAACCAGUGGCGGGCUCGCUAGUCACUCCGAACGUAGUAGUUACAUCUCGCUCAGGGCGUGCUGCGGGUUCCGGCCGUUAAAAGCCUUAUUUACCCAAGGUUGACCUCGGAUCAGGUAGGAAGACCCGCUGAACUUAAGCAUAUCAAUAAGCGGAGGA